rnacentral:rRNA from 1 species
CGUAGGAGGCAAGCGUUAUCCGGAUUCACUGGGCGUAAAGCGCGUGCAGGUGGCGCGGUAAGUUGGGCGUGAAAUCUCCCGGCUCAACUGGGAGAGGUCGUUCAAUACUACCGUGCUUGAGAGCAGAAGAGGAAGAUGGAAUACCCGGUGUAGUGGUGAAAUGCGUAGAUAUCGGGAGGAACACCAGUGGCGAAGGCGAUCUUCUGGUCUGUUUCUGACACUCAGACGCGACAGCUAGGGUAGUAAACGGGAUUAGAGACCCCGGUAAUCCUAGCCGUAAACGAUGUGAACUUGGCGUUGGUGGGUUAAACUCCAUCAGUGCCGUAGCAAACGCGAUAAGUUCACCGCCUGGGGACUACGGCCGCAAGGUUA